rnacentral:rRNA from 1 species
CAGCCGCCGCGGUAAUACGUAGGUGGCAAGCGUUGUCCGGAAUUAUUGGGCGUAAAGCGCGCGCAGGCGGUUCCUUAAGUCUGAUGUGAAAGCCCACGGCUCAACCGUGGAGGGUCAUUGGAAACUGGGGGACUUGAGUGCAGAAGAGGAGAGCGGAAUUCCACGGGUAGCGGGGAAAUGCGUAGAGAUGUGGAGGAACACCAGUGGCGAAGGCCGCUCUCUGGUCUGUAACUGACGCUGAGGCGCGAAAGCGUGGGGAGCAAACAGGAUUAGAUACCCUGGUAGUCCACGCCGUAAACGAUGAGUGCUAAGUGUUAGAGGGUAUCCACCCUUUAGUGCUGUAGCUAACGCAUUAAGAACUCCGCCUGGGGAGUACGCUCGCAAGAGUGAAACUUAAAGGAAUUGGCGGG